rnacentral:lncRNA from 1 species
CUUAAUCUGAUAAUUAAGCAAAGCAACAGUCUUUUUCACUAGCUAAACACCUUCUAAAUCUAAUCUCUGUUCCUUAAACUAUGAUUUAAGUAUAUUAAAAGCACAGUCAUGAAAACAGAGUUUCAUCAGCCCGAAUGCUUUAUAAAAGAAAUGAAGCAACGGGGUUACUAAUCAGAGACAAAUUUAACAUACACCCGUAUUUUGUACGAGAACUUGUAAACUCGAGAAUUUCAGGAGCGUGUUUAGUGCGACUUCGCUAAGCUAAACUACAACACACUAGCUAGACUAAGUUUCUCUGAUCAACCCAGUAAACUAUGAUACGAACUUGUUCCAUUUUACACAAUAAACUACAUGAUAUGCUAUACAUGAACGUUGUUUAUAUAUAAAUAAUAAUCCAAAUAAAUCGACAAGAAAAACGUUCAUAUUUCUGGAGAAUCUUUGCAUAUAUAUAUAUAUAUACAUGGAUCUUCUCACCUGGACUGGAGCUUAAUUAUAAACCUGCGUUUGCAUGUGCAUGCCUUCAUAGCUGAAUCUAAACGUACACACAGAGAAGAAGAGAGAAUUGAAGUAAAUGUUGAGUUGGAAUCGGACGGUGGCACGAAAAUAACGGUGUCGGUUGCAGGUCUUUACAAACCAGCCGACAAGUCAGCUCCAUCGGUCGGUUUGUCACGACCUCUUCUUCUUCGUCCCAACUCUCUCACUCAAACCGUCGUCGCUUCCGCCGACUGUCCCCGUCGCCCGGCAGGUGAAAGUCGUCUAUCAAAACUGGGUUUGUUAUGUUUCCCUUUCCCUAGCUAUCCUUCUCGAUAUGUUGAUAUGUUCAAAUCAGAACUUAAUUAGCUAAAAUAGACAAGAUCGGAGGCUCCGAUUCGGAGCUAAGGUUAUGCAUUGUGUGUUUCAAAACUCAUUCAGACACGUUAUAAGAUUCCUGAUCGAUUUGGACGCGCCAGAUUUAGGAUAAGGGUUUUUAUUACAAGUGAACUAUUCUAAUUUGUUUGCAUCGCAUGUUGAACAAAACUAUAUAAAAGCUAGUAGCAGCUUUAGAAUUUUCUUUUCUUCCCGGCCUUCAUGAACAAAAGAAUAUUUAUUCAGGUCAUGAUCAUAAAGAGUGAAGUUGAUAAACAACUUUUGUUUGGAGAAAGGAAGUAAGAAUGACAUGUUUUUGUUGAUGAAUCUCACUGAAUGAGAGAUAAUAGGAGAUUACAUGGAAAAAAAUUUACUCAUGUUUUUGUUUUUGUAAGUUUUACUCAUGUUUUUCAGAGAUAAUCAUUUUGUAUACGAGUUAAGACUUACGUUCUCACGAU